AAGUCGUAACAAGGUUUCCGUAGGUGAACCUGCGGAAGGAUCAUUAACAUUUUUGUACUUCUACAGUACAUUAAACCCAAAUGUUGAACUGUUGUGCGAAUGUAGUGUUCGAGUUUUCUAUCUCGUUGUCUCGAUACAUUCGUCUUUCUUUUUCAAAACAACUGGAUAAUUCUUUUAACCCAAUUUCACCUCGAUAUUCCAAAGUGUGAACUUAAGCUUUUUCGUCUUUUUUAAUCGAGACGAAAAAAUCAAUACGAAACGUAAGAACAACUCUUAACAACGGAUAUCUUGGCUCUC
rnacentral:misc_RNA from 1 species